UAUUACAGCAGCAGUAAUGCCAAAAUCUCU
rnacentral:piRNA from 1 species